GACAGAGGGUGCAAACGUUGUUCGGAAUUACUGGGCGUAAAGCGUGUGUAGGCGGUCUCAUAAGUCGGAUGUGAAAGCCCCGGGCUCAACCCGGGAAGUGCAUUCGAAACUGCGAGGCUAGAGUACUGGAGAGGUUGGUGGAAUUCUCGGUGUAGAGGUGAAAUUCGUAGAUAUCGAGAGGAACACCGGUGGCGAAGGCGGCCAACUGGACAGAUACUGACGCUGAGACUCGAAAGCGUGGGGAGCAAACGGG
rnacentral:rRNA from 1 species